UGGGUCUCUGCAUUCAGCUGAUUUCUGUAACUGAGGGCCUGUCAUCUGUACCAAUGUGUCUUUUAAGUGCCUACAGAGAGCUUUGACUGCUGUUCUAGGUGUAAAGGAACCCUGGAGUUUCCCCAUCAAAGAACGAGUUCUAUUUGCAGGUUAAUUUCU